rnacentral:rRNA from 1 species
GACGAACGCUGGCGGCGUGCCUAACACAUGCAAGUCGUGCGAGAAAGCCCCUUCGGGGGUGAGUACAGCGGCGGACGGGUGAGUAACACGUGAGCGAUCUACCCGAAGGUGGGGGACAACUCAGGGAAACUUGAGCUAAUACCGCGUAUGGCGUGGGCUUAGAAGCCCGGCGUCAAAGGUGGCCUCUCUAUAGAAGCUACCGCCUACGGAGGAGCUCGCGGCCUAUCAGCUAGUUGGUGGGGUAACGGCCUACCAAGGCGAUGACGGGUAGCUGGCGUGAGAGCGCGACCAGCCACACUGGGACUGAGACACGGCCCAGACUCCUACGGGAGGCAGCAGUGGGGAAUAUUGCGCAAUGGGCGAAAGCCUGACGCAGCGACGCCGCGUGGGGGAGGAAGGCCUUCGGGUUGUAAACCCCUGUCAGGUGGGACGAACAGCAGGUCGUCGAAUAGGCGGUCUGUUUGACGGUACCACCAGAGGAAGCUCCGGCUAACUCCGUGCCAGCAGCCGCGGUAAUACGGGGGGAGCAAGCGUUGUUCGGAAUUACUGGGCGUAAAGGGCGCGUAGGCGGCCGAGUAAGUCGCGUGUGAAAUGCCGGGGCUCAACCCCGUG